rnacentral:rRNA from 1 species
AUCUCCUUAAUCGGAGAGUUCCCUUCGGGGACAUUGGUGACAGGUGGUGCAUGGUUGUCGUCAGCUCGUGUCGUGAGAUGUUGGGUUAAGUCCCGCAACGAGCGCAACCCUUGUCUUUAGUUGCCAUCAUUAAGUUGGGCACUCUAGAGAGACUGCCAGGGAUAACCUGGAGGAAGGUGGGGAUGACGUCAAAUCAUCAUGCCCCUUAUGCUUAGGGCUACACACGUGCUACAAUGGGUAGUACAGAGGGUUGCCAAGCCGUAAGGUGGAGCUAAUCCCUUAAAGCUA